GAGAGCGGCUGGAGAGGGUUGCGCGCUCCUCUCCCAGCAAGCGAGAGGCGCGCUCGGGUCGCCGCCGCUCCCGCGCUCCUCCCUCUCCUCUGCACCCACUGUCACGCUACCCGCCCGCGGGGGAGCCUCGAGAGCCUCCAGGUGAAUUGAAAGUCGUUUCCGGGGGAGGACGGAGAGGGUGCUGCAGUCCUGGCAUGCCCUGAAACUGCAAGUCGGGCAGAAACGACCCGGUGGAGGAGCAGGGCGCCCAGCGCCCUGCGCAGCAUCCCCGGGCUGCUGGAAGAGGCCACCACUCGGCUGGCAGUCGGGAGCGGCAGCCGGACCUCGGCCCCAGACUCGGGCCCCCGGCACGCUCGCCCGGGAGACACCCCUUCCCCCUCUUGCGCAUUUCGCAGUUGCGCUGGUGUGGGGCAUGAGAGCGCGGUGGCUCCAGGUCUCCGCGGAGCAGCUGCCAGUGGGAGAGCGAGGAGAGGCGAGGGGGCGGCAGCCUCGGCCCGAAGACUGUUUCCUUGGGCCCUCAGUCUAAUGCUGUCCACCACCCGUGAGCAAAACUCUUUCUACGGCAAGAAACAUCAAAUAUCUGUAGUGGAUGGAGAUCCUGGGGUCCUAAAUUUGUGGCCGAUUGCACUGUGUCCUGGAGACAGAGCGGAACCACAGCCCGGAGCCCCUGGGAAUUGCCCCUGAAAGGCUGCAUUACUUCUCUGUGGAGUCUUCCUCCUCCUGAUUAUUUUCUUUUUAGGUAAGGUCUAUCUUUUUAUUAAAUCAUAAAAUGAGCAUCCAUCAUCUUGACAGUGAAUGAAUUAUGAGCUAAAGGCCUAUCUAUAAAACUUGGCUUCUGUUCAUUCCCUCUCUGAGCUCAGUGGAACAAAAUGUCCAAAUUGAACCUUGCGAUCUUCCCACAGGUAUUUGUUCUGAUAUACAGCUGCUUUAUUUUUUUAGUCAUUCUUCCUUUGGUCUUGCGCACAGGGUUAGCGGCAUAUGUGUUAUUUUUCAGACCAUGUAUUAGAUCCAUUUAUAUGCCUGUCUUUGUGUUCAGACUCUGGCUCAAAGCCAUGAUAAUGACUAAAGAUAUGGAAAAUGCUCAGAGAACAUGAACUUUUUGGCAAAGGAUAUAGAGAACCGUGUAGAUACCUGAUGACUGCCUAUGUCUAUGGAGGGAAUAGAAUGAAUCAGAAAUAAGAGUCCCUUUUGGGUCUGUCCAAUUAUAUGAUCUUGAUCAAAGUUAGGAUCCCAUAAAAGGAGCACAAUUAAUUUUCCAGUUUCAUUGAGAUCCCUUUGCUUUCCCCAAAUCAGCCUACAUGAGUGGCCUUGAGUGUCUGGAAUGGUGAGAUGACCCAGUUCAUCCCCAACUUUAGCGUAUUCAUUCAGCCUAAAUUCUGUUCAUAAAUCCAGCAGUUCAAUAUUUUAUGCUAAUAAAAGCUAUUAGCAUUUUGCACUUUCUCCCAUUACAAAAGUUUUCAUACAGCCCUUAUCAUUCUGACGGCAAGAUGUAAAAUUUUGAUAUUUAAUCCAAAGGAAGUUAGGAAAUUAGAUAGAUAGAUAGAUAGAUAGAUAGAUAGAUUGAUUGAUUGAUUGAUUGAUUGAUUUAUCUUGUCUCAAUACCAUCUUCAUUCAAUUUGGUGUGUGGUUCAGUGAGCUGUAUAAAUCAGCACUCAACCACAUCACAGAAGGAUAGAAGGGCCUUAGACAUCAUGGUCAGAGAAUCAUUGUCAGGAAGCAUUAAACUUAGCUUCCUCAAUGUCAGAAUGUUUGCACCAACUCUGACACAGAAAGUUCGCUGAGUGAUGGCAAAAGUUCCCUGAGUGAUGGUAGAAAGCUUGCAAAAAAGUUUCUGAAUUCAAGCAACCAAAGAGGCUGUAUCCCCUCCUUCUAUAAAGUGACACUGUUGGUAGAAAACCAUCACAUGAAGGAGGGCAUGUGGGUGCUGGAUUUUGUGCAGCUAGAAAGCUGGUAGGUAGGUCUUGUUUAGUCUGUGCCAGAGGUCGUAUUGGCUUCAGAAAGGGAGUUCAGGAGUCCUCUGAGCUCCCGGUGAUUUACCCUGACUUCCCUUUGUAAGCAUAUGGAUUCUAUUUUCUGCUGUCUCUAUAAAUACUGUUGUGACUGUCUCUGCCAAACCAGCUACCUUUCUCACCCCAGGGAGAAGCCAGGGAUCAGACAUUCCUACGCUACCGCCCCAUUAGACACUGCCGUAACACGAGGGAGCAGACCUGGCAGUCAAUAUGAUGUGUGUAUUUGGAUCUUUAAAGAGCUAGGCUAAACUUAGAGUCAGCGGACUACCAUAAAUAACCUGUGUUCCUCUCUCUUUGUGUGGUUUGCCCUGGAAUGCCUUGCGCUUUAGUGUUGUACAAGCAGCAAGAGAUCAAAGAGUCAACAUUUUAUGGAUGCAUAGUUCAUUACAAAGUCAUCCGUGGGAGGAGACCCUGGCAAAAGCACUACUCGUUCUCUCUUGUGACUGUUUUGUUGCCUGAAUUGGGAUUGGAGGGCACUAAAAGAACUUGCAACCACUUUAAAUAAUUUUAAAGAAUAAAAUAAAGAUGGAAAUUCACUUUUAAAGGAGGGCUAAAACUUAACUGGCAUCUUUUUCGGGUAUAGAAUGUGGUAGGAGGAAAGAGGAAGUAAAGGAAUUGGCCCAUUACCACAUGGAAUGUGGUUGGAGAAGAAUAAAAGAAGGCAGAAUGGAAUCCUGUGUAAUUUACUUACCCUUGGGUAAGCAUUAGAGAGAGCCUUUGAUAAGCAGAGCAUAACAUCGACAGGGAUUUUUUUUUUUUUUAAAGCCCAAACUAGAUAAUGUAUCUGAAAAACAGGCUUUGAACUAGUUUGCUAGAAUAUAAAGAAUAAAUGUGUUUCAAAUUAUAGCAUUAAUGAUGUUGCAAACCCAGGAUUGUAGAUAAUCACAAUGACACAAAACAAUAGCUACUAUUUAUUUGAUGUCUGCUGCAUGCCACAUGCUGUGUGGUGUAUGUGAUAUCUUUUUAUCUCACAACCACGCACAGGGAUGACCUGUUGGUAUCCCCACUUACACACAGGGAAACAGGACUCUGCAAAGUUGAAAUGCUUAGCUCAAGGUCACACAGUCACUAAGUGGUAAGCCCAGGAUUUGAACCAAGCUCUGGAAGGAAGUGGAAGUGACUACUUCUUAGCCUGUAGUUAAUAUUUCUGGCUCUUGACACUUUUUCUAGUCUCUGUGGCAGGAGUUGUUGGAACUCUUGCUUUCUGAGCUUGGGAGAUUUGCUCUCAAAGACUUCCUCUGUGAUUAAGACUUACUCUGUCUGAGCUGAAUGUGUGUAUCUGUCUGGGGACUCUGUCCUUGUGGUUGUCCAUAGGCAGUCAGAAUUAAUCACUCAUAAAACAUAUUGCAUAGAUAAGACUUUUGAUCCGGCAUUUUGGAAGUUAGGGGCUGGAUAUCUUAUAAAAGAAUGUCUGUUGCAUACUUGAUCAAUUACAGUGAUAGCUAAAGAAACAUUUUCUCAAAUGUAUUAUUUUAACAGGAAUCAUGUUCUAGUUUCCCAUCCUUUAGCUGACUUUAAGUUUAAGAAAACCUGAGCUGUAUGAACUUACAAAAAAAAAAUGACAGGAUAGGCCAGAAGCAGUGGCUCAUGCCUGUAAUCCCAGCACUUUGAGAGGCCCAGGUGGGCAGAUCACAAGGUCAGGAGAUCAAGACCAUCCUGGCUAACAUGGUGAAACUCCAUCUCUACUAAAAAAUAGAAAAAAUUAGCCAGGCGUGGUGGCAGGCGCCUGUAGUCCCAGCUACUUGGGAGGCUGAGGCAGGAGAAUGGCAUGAACCUGGGAGGCGUAGCUUGCAGUGAGCUGAGAUUGCGCCAGGGCACUCCAGCCUGGGCAGCAGAGCAAGACUCCGUCUCAAAAAAGAAAAAAAAAAUUAAUUAUUAC
rnacentral:lncRNA from 1 species